UUCUAAAGCUAAAUAUUGGCCAGAGACCGAUAGCGCACAAGUAGAGUGAUCGAAAGAUGAAAAGCACCUUGAAAAGGGGGUUAAACAGUACGUGAAAUUGUUGAAAGGGAAGCGCUCAUGACCAGACUUGUGCUGGGCAGCUCAUCCGGGGUUCUCCCCGGUGCAUUCUGCCCAGUUCAGGCCAGCAUCGAUUUUUGCUGGGGGAUAAGAACGGUAGGAACGUGGCCCUCCUUCGGGAGGGUGUUAUAGCCUACCGUACGAUACCCUAGCGGAGAUCGAGGUUCGCGCAUCUGCAAGGAUGCUGGCGUAAUGGUCAUCAGCGACCCGUCUUGAAACACGGACCAAGGAGUCGUCCAUUAGAGCGAGCGUUUGGGUGUAAAACCCGCACGCGUAAUGAAAGUGAAAUUAGGUGAGAGCUUCGGCGCAUCAUCGACCGAUCCUGAUGUUCUCGGAUGGAUUUGAGUAAGAGUUUUAACGGACGGACCCGAAAGACAGUGAACUAUGCUUGUAUAGGGUGAAGCCAGAGGAAACUCUGGUGGAGGCUCGCAGCGGUUCUGACGUGCAAAUCGAUCGUCAAAUAUGAGCAUGGGGGCGAAAGACUAAUCGAACUGUCUAGUAGCUGGUUACCGCCGAAGUUUCCCUCAGGAUAGCAGUGUUGACCUUCAGUUUUAUGAGGUAAAGCGAAUGAUUAGGGACUCGGGGGCGCUUUUUAGCCUUCAUCCAUUCUCAAACUUUAAAUAUGUAAGAAGCCCUUGUUACUUAGUUGAACGUGGGCAUUCGAAUGUAUCAACACUAGUGGGCCAUUUUUGGUAAGCAGAACUGGCGAUGCGGGAUGAACCGAACGCGGGGUUAAGGCGCCAGAGUGUACGCUCAUCAGACACCACAAAAGGCGUUAGUACAUCUUGACAGCAGGACGGUGGCCAUGGAAGUCGGAAUCCGCUAAGGACUGUGUAACAACUCACCUGCCGAAUGUACUAGCCCUGAAAAUGGAUGGCGCUCA
rnacentral:rRNA from 1 species